CCGCCUCCGCCCGGGCGCUGCGCUGGGGAGACGAGAAAGGCCAGCGCUGCUCCCCCCCCCCAAGCUGGGCGCAGGUGUGUUUCUUGAGGAUCGGGCGCAGGGAGCGGCUCGCCCUUCUCUCGUUCCCUGCCAAGCCUGCGAGCGCCAAAGGCAAGAACGUCCUUCGGAACUGGCCAACUUUUCCUUCGCCUUAUUUCUGCAAAGCAGGUGGCCUCUGAGCGCCGAGCCCGAGACUCUCUUUAGGUUCGAGUUACAGACGCCAGAAAGAUCGGAGCCCUGGAAAGUUCCUUUGGCGGACUCACUGCUGGCAAUAAAGGAGCGCGCCGGGAGGAGGGCUCCACUGCAUUCGAACUCUUUCCCUUCCUAAAAAGCCUUGUGUGCGGCUCGUUUGCGAUCCUGCGACUUGCGCAAAGUCUUUGCUACCAAAGGGGUGCGAAAGAAUUCUGGCUUUGCGAGCUGAAAGCACAAGUUCUCCCGCGCAGCGCAUCUGUAUCGCUUUUGCUCCCGCUUUGCAGGUGGCCUCCUAACCCCUGACACUGGGGGGGGGGCUUUUAUGGGCGGCGCGGUUGGGUUCGGUUGCCGGGCCCAAACGGGCCAAGGAUUCGUUGGAAGGGAAGCCCCGCGACUAAGUUUGGAGCCGGUACUCUUGAAAUUAAAGGACGCGCUAGCUUUUUCCACAACCCCAAUCGCUGCGUUCUUCGCCCGCCGCCAGCUGGGUGUAAUUUCAUAGAGCGACAGCACCCACUAGCGGCCGCUAUGAAAACGCGCCUUUUAUUUUAACCUUCGCUUUUAGCGAUCCUCGGAAAAGUUCGCCUUGAAGUCAAAGUGGAACUUUUGUUGUUGUUUUUUAGUUUUGUUGAAAUCGUCGUCGGUUGUUAACGACGGGCUUUUUAAGAGAUUGAAUCCGUUUAGGAAUUAGAGGUGAAAUGGGCUGCUUUCGAUCUGAUUUGUCUUAAUCGGCAGGUAGCCAAAGCAAACGAACGCAAAUUAAAAUCUGGCUAAAACUAGAUAUAGCCCAUAUGCUAUGAAUUAUAAAACGUUUUAAUUGAGGGUUUGAAUGGUGGAGAGGUAGGAAUUCGAAAUUAUCUAAAACGACGUGGAUUUCAAGAAAGAUAGCCGUCAAAAAUAAUUUUGCGCCGAUAUUAGAAGGAUACGUGAUACCUCAAGUGUACGGUUAGACAUUAGAGGUUUGUUAGAGAAAUACCUAUUUAAAAAUAAACGCAAUGACUUUAUUUAAAAAAAAAGACAUUAGUUCUUUCGGACUGAGAAUCUGAAAAUACUUUUCAAUAUUGGCUUAACCACAGGGAACAAAGCACCUGGAAAAUAAAUGUCACGUCUACGCAGAAUUUUAUUCUCUUCUCUUCAUUAAAAAACUUAAAUGUUCUUGCGCUUAAAUAAAACGAUAUCAGGAAGUCAUCACCAGGACACAGGGUUAAUAAUUCAAGGGGGGAAACCGGGUUUGCAUUUCUGGAAUUUUUUCCGUGUUUAUUUAGCGGGGGGAUUUUUUUUUCUUAAAGCCGAGCGAAAGUUCCACUUCCAAAACCGAGUGACUCCGAUUUCGCAGCUCCAGGUUUGGUACCGUCUCCCGCAGUCACCGAAAUAGGGUGGCUAGAGUCUGCUCAUUCCGGAUCGAACGCUUCUCUCUCUUUCCUGGGACACUUGCACGAAAUUCACCUCCUCCAAGCGGAAUGAUUCGAGUAGCCCAAAUAAUUUCUCGGCUGUGGGGAGGGGGCAAUCCUUUGUGUGUGUGUCCCACACACACACACACACAGGAUUCAAUGCUGCGACUCCCAGACCCAGAGGUGAAGAGAAGCAGAAGAAGCGGGGAGGUUGUAGGAAUGGGAGACCACCUUUGUCCGAAGUUACCUUUUUCCAAAAAAAAAAAAAAAAAAAAAGAUAAAAAGAAACGACACUCCCUUCCAGAGGCUCGGAGCCACAACCGAGAAGAAAGUGGGGCAACUCGCCCUUCUGAGAUAGGCGUCUCUGGAGCCCUACAAGAACCCCGAGAGGCUUCGCCAGCUGGGAGAAGAAAACAUCUGGAAAUAGCCAAGUUGAGAGGUUUUUUUGGGGUGGCUGGGGGAAGGAAACGAACAAAGUGAAGCCAGCCACUUUAGCCCCAAGGAGACCUUCCUCGGAACACUUGGAAGAAUUGCAAAAAAGAAAUGGUUUUAAAGGAUUUCAACUUUUUUUCUGACUUUUAUUCAUUCAGGAAGACGGCGCCUGGAAGUCCCCCCUGGCCCGAUCUAAUUCGCUGAGCUGGACAACCGAUAGAGAGGUGGCUCCGGGGGAGGAGGGGGUCCUUUGGCUGUUGUUGGAACAGCGGAGCUAUAAGGAUCAAGUUUGGCUCACCACUAGGGCUGCGGAUGUUAGAGGGGCCUACUGCUGUGGUUGCCUAAACCAGGAACCGGCGACUUUUCAUCCCCUUCGGAAUAAGUAGGCCUGGUCUACCGGCAAGAAUUACUCUGAUUUGUUUAGCCUUAGAAGCAAGCAAAGGGGUCGAGGCCGCCACGCGAGGCCCGCAGGAGGAAGAGAAGCCGACCACAGCAGCGAAGGGAAGAGGUAAACAGGCCUUGGAUUGCAGGUUGGGAUGAUUCAGAUUGACUUCCACGGAACUGCCCCCAGGAUCUAGCUUCCAAGAAUUCUCGUUGGCACUGGUCUCUAAACCAGAAAGCCUUGGCCGAACCUAAGAUGGAAUUACUAUAGGAAUCAAGUUGCAUUUGGACUGGCUCCAAAGAAUUCCAUCAGACAGUUUCAAUUUUGCCAGAAUGAAGUUAAAAGCAUGGACUAAAGAAUCAAUCCUCUUGACCAGUCCUCUUGACUCUAGUUCAAGCAAAAGAAAAAGCCUUGCAAAUUCAACUUGAAGCUUCGUCACCAUUUCCUCAGCUGCUGAGAAUAGUCACAAUGCAAGAAAGGAAAUAAAGAGAAGGUCAGUGGCAGAAACCUUGCAAAAAUAACCCCUUGGACAAAACGGCUUUUUUUUUUCUUUCUUCCCCAUAAGUGACUGUCCUGACAAUGUCCUUCCAGGAAAUUUCGUUGGUUGGGACAAAAACUUCACAGGCAGCAAUACUUCAAAUUGGAAUCGGUUAAGACGCCACACCAGAAACUGGUAAUUGUAACCUUUUCCUCUUCUAAAUAGUUACAGACAACCUGUUCCAUAUGCUCAGCUUUUUUUUUUUUUGGGGGGGGGGGGGGAAUCAGCAGUUGACACCAUAUUAAACAAAAAAAAAGAGUCAAAACUGAAUUAAAAUAUUACAAUUUCCAAACUUGAUAUUUUGGGCCUUAGCAGCAAGACCAAAAUUAGAAAAUUUUGUUAUAUGUAAAAACAGGAUGAGAUGUGGAUAAAUUCUGAACAGCUUUCUUUAGUGCAAAACUAAAGCUUCCCCUUGUAUAUGGAACAAAACAGACAUUUAGUGAAUUUGCAAUAAAAAUGGGAAUCAGAAUAACUUAGCCUUCAGAGAUUCAGCAACCUAGCUGAAAGUUAAGUCAACACCAUGUUUCCUGAUAGCAGGAAAGCUUUAGAAACAAGUAGCAUGCUCAUUAUAUACAUAGUGAAGAAUAUUAAGAAAUGGAACCAUUUUCCUUGUCUAUGAAGAUACGGUUUUAUUAGACUACAAAACGUAAUUCUAAAUAAAUCAAACUUGAGCUCCAGCUGUACCUCAAAUUCAGCCUGUUGACAGUGUUUCUUCACUAGCAGUUUUUGCAGUAUAACUAGAAACGACAAUUAUAUUUCAUCAUGCUUGGUGAAGCUAUUUUAGCUAUUUUUAAUUAAAGGAAGAAUUGGGAAUGUCUAAACUUUUUGUUCCGGUUUUGAUCAAGAUGUAUUAUUUUUUUUCUACAUAUUUUAUUUGGGACAUUGCUAAUAGUUGGUUUCCAUUGAAAUAUUUCUGCUGAAUAAAGCUUUUAUGCUGAGGACACGAGCACAGGAUCAUUUCCUAUAAGUGAGAGCCAUAUGUGCAUGCACUCACACAUAUACAUUAUACACACACAUAUACAUACAUAUAUGUACACACACACACACACACACACACACACAGAGCCACUGUUAUGAAAGUUUAUUCAUUACUAUUAGGGCUUUCCAAUUCUUGCUCCCUUUUUUUAACAAGUAUCCAUUUUAUUUUACAACUUAACAUUUAUUUAUAAUAUUCAUAUUUUGUAUUGCCAACACUACAAAGACACCAUCAUUUAAAAAAACCUCAUAAAAAUUAUAACUUAUAACCAACCACAAACCACACAUUACAACUUAACUCCAGCACUUAUAUUAAGUGACAAUAUUUCAACUCUUUAAAAGCCAAUUAAUAACAUUUUGAUUAAGGGGUUUGGGGAAGAGCCAUUUCCAUGGCCCUCCUGAAUACUAUCAUAGAAGGCACCAUUCAGAUCUCCAAAGUAAGGAUAGCAUGUACAUCCUCCUCCAAAAUAUUAUGCUCCUGAUGUCAUAUGGCAAAUGGUACUUUCCACAUUUCCAUCUGGGAUGAAUGAACCAGGGUCAGUUCUAUGCACAAAGACUUACUGGAAGCUAAUCAGUAUCCCCACAAGUGGUGAUUAUAUUUACUGGCAGCUUUCAUCGACUAGCAACUUUCCAUUUUGCAUCAACUUUGAGGCACUCGUCAAAGAUAGCCCCCGAUAGAACAAAUUGUAGCAUGCACUAUUUUUCUUUUUGACAGCCCAUAUGCUGGCAUCAGCAAUACAAAAAGCCCUUCUCUCCAAGGUCAAGCGCAACCCAGAGCAUUAUCUUGCUAACAUGUGAUAAUAAAGUGAACACAUUUUUAGUGAUGGGAUUUUUAAGGGAAAUAAAACAGAGGAAGUUGUAGCAAAGCAAAACAAACAGGUCAAACACUCCCAAGUCUACUUCCUUAGUGGCAUUAUUGCAUAACUGGAUUAUACUACAAUUAUAAGGCAAAUAUAUAUUAAAAAGUAUGCUUCCCAAAUGAAAAAGUAGACUCUAUGGACAUGGCAACUGUGAAAACAAAAUAAAUAAAAAUGCUUCAAUCCAUAACAAGUUUUCCGGGAAGACUUUUGACUUGGGACUGAUGAUUGAUUCCUAAUUGAUCCCUUCCUUGCGAUGGACCUCUGAAAAUUUGAUCUAGAAGGUUCCAGAAUCCUCUGAAUAUGUACAAGCUGCACAUGGGGAAGGGGGGAAUUGAUAUAUCGUUCCUCUACACUUCAGAGAAUGCACUGUGCUUUGGCAAAAGCAGACUCUAUAUCCAAUUCAUAUAUGUGUGUGUGUCUGUGUGUAUGCAUAUGCAUGUAUGUAUAUGUAUAUAUAUGUAUAUAAUAUAAAUAUAAUUAUUGAUAUAAGCAGAUGCGCAAGAGUCCAAGAUUUGAAAAUACCAAUGUACAGUUAGUACAUUUAGUAAUUGAAAUUUCAAAUGGUCUCUUCUAAAGGAAUGCUUCCCGUUACAGCAUCAGAGCAAUUAUUUUUUUAAAAAAUCUGAGAUUUGAAAUAAUCUGAAACUCUCAGGCAUUAUUGCUUUAUUUAGUCUAAUUAAAUUAAGAACAGCACAAUGGUCACAGCAAUAUUAAUUUAUUAAAAACAUCCUCAGAGAUACCGACUGUUCAACUGUAUACUUCAUGAUCUUUCAUUCCGUACUUUAUGCAAGCAAAACAGGAGUCUGUUCAACCUAUGCCACAUACUGGAAACUUGAUACAAUUGAUGUUACAUAAAAACAAAACUAAAUGGGUUCCAUUGUUGUUGAUAUUUUGAUUUAAAUACUGGAAUAAGAAUAUUAACUAAGGAUGCUACAGUCUAGAAGAAAUAGUACAUGACAAGGUUCAACCUACACGUGAAAAGGAAUUCAGGGAACUGCCGAAAACAAGCAAGAUGCAAGUGUCGCACCUUUUUAGAAGGACUAGCAAUUACUUGGAAACUUAAUUUUUAUUUAAUCUUACAACAUUGGCAAAAAGGUUACAAAAUUACUGUAAUGAACUUAUGCCCAGAAGUGCCUGUGAGUAUUUUCAGGAACAGUACCAAAUUAAGGAUUACAGGAUCGUAAAAAUGGAGUACUCUUAAUAAGAUUGUUUUAAACUAUGUGGGCAAUUUUAUUUGCCCAUCAUGUUCAGGCUGGGGAUCCAAAAACUAUUAAACUAAUUACAAGACCAAAGCUGCCCUCACACAGAACUCCAUAACACUCCAUGGCAAUUGCUUUUGAAACUGAGACGUGUAUCAGUCCACAAUUUUAUUAUGUAAAGGAAACAUGAUAGUAACUAUCAAGGCCAAAAAGACAGUAAAUCCACAGCUGAAAUAACUGCCUCAUCAGUGUAAAACCAUCAUUAAACUAGCAAGAGCCACUUAACAGGACAAUAAUUUCAACCUGCAGUGUUAUCUUGGCUCUGAAAGUAUGAAAAUGUUGGUGGACUUAAUUCCAAUGUGUGCCUGAUUUGAGGAAAAUAAGUUUUAUUAGCACAAAAUAUACAUGCACUAAAAAAAUUUACUUAAACAUAUGAAUUUAAUAUUUCAUUUUAUUCAGCAAAUUGGUUUUAUUUACACAAUUGGGAAUGCUGGUUGAAUUUUAUCAGUGGAAUAAAAACAAUUCUAGUAGAGACAAUACUGAACUCCCUUACACAUCUCCAGCAACACUGACCAACUUUUUCCUUACCUGUAUCAGGAACAUCAA